UUCAAGCAAUUUGAAAUUCUUCAUUUUUUAUGAUAAUAUUUUAUUUCGUAUAUAUGUUUAUAGGUUUAUUCGUAUCAACAAAUCUGUGUACGAGUUAAUAACGCAGCCUGGUUCCCUGCAUUUUCAGUGAACCACAGAGAACCAGAAUAAGAUUGUAGGGAAACAAGCCUUGUUACAAGGUUUGAGGGUCUCUGCUAGUAUCAUGUGGACCCCAGUGUAACAAAUCUAUGGAAAGAGAGAAAAUCUCAGCUCAAGGGUCAACAUGUCUUUAUUCCAAGAAAGAGUGUACAUAUGCCAGAAUCAUAUGGACCGCAGACUGGCCCUGGUGAUUCCGUUAAAAAAAAGGAGGAAAAAUCAGUGCUUGUGCUCAUUGGUCAUUGGACAAAGGGUGAAUGCCAGAAUUUUUUCAAGAACAGUCUGAAUCUGACAUGGAAAAAUGAAGAAAAACAGCCUUCCUGUUUAUAAAUCUACAUUCUGACAAAGGGUAAGAAAGAAAUUCAGGAGUUCUUAAAUUGCCCUUGGAGUUCUUGGAUUGCAUCAAACUGCUAAAAGACCUCAACAAAAACAGCGUCUUGAAAAUAAAAAUGAAAAUAUUCAGUGAAAAAAAAAUGAUGAAAGAGCCACUAAAAAUCUUCAAGCCUUUGAGCUGAAAUCUGGAAGUCAAUCUGUGGACUUUACUAGUAUGUCAUAAUUACUAAGUCAUCAUUUGUGUAUAAUAAAUACACUAAACUGUAAACACUUGUUAAAAUGUGUAUAAUUUUUAGAUAUAAUUUGUAGCUCACAGACUUCAAUAGUUUCAUGUAAUGUAAGUAAUAAUGAAAAUUUCCUGUUGUCUAGCUAGAU